CCUAGUGACUAUAGCGGAGAGGAAACACCCGUUCCCAUCCCGAACACGGAAGUUAAGCUCUCCAGCGCCGAUGGUAGUUGGGGCCAGCGCCCCUGCAAGAGUAGGUCGUCGCUAGGC
rfam:Geobacillus caldoxylosilyticus NBRC 107762 DNA, contig: GCA01S028.